GAAUUGCAGAAUCCCGCGAACCAUCGAGUCUUUGAACGCAAGUUGCGCCCGAGGCCAUCCGGCCGAGGGCACGCCUGCCUGGGCGUCACGCUAAACACGCUC
rnacentral:rRNA from 1 species